AGCUCCAAUAGCGUAUAUUAAAGUUGUUGCGGUUAAAAAGCUCGUAGUUGGAUUUCUGCCAAAGUCGACCGGUCCAUCUUUCAUUAGGUGCGUAUCAGGUAUUGAUUGAGGCAUAUACUGGAGUUGCAUUGCUCUUCACUGAGCUUGUUGUUCCAGUCUUUUACUUUGAGGAAAUUAGAGUGUUUCAAGCAGGCUAUUGCCUUGAAUACAUUAGCAUGGAAUAAUAAUAUAUGACUUCGGCUCUAUUUUGUUGGUUUCUAGAACUGAAGUAAUGAUUAAUAGGAACAGUCGGGGGCAUUCGUACUUAACAGUCAGAGGUGAAAUUCUUGGAUUUGUUAAAGACGAACUACUGCGAAAGCAUUUGCCAAGGAUGUUUUCAUCG
rnacentral:rRNA from 1 species